AACCUUUAACGGUGGAUCACUCGGUUUGUGCGUCGAUGAAGAACGCAGCCAAAUGCGAUAUGUAAUGUGAAACGCAGGCUUUGUGAAUCAUCGAGAAUUCGAACGUGAUACGCACUUCUACCCAUUACGGUCUAGAGGUGCAUGUCUGGUUGAGCGUCGAUAUUAUACAUUAAAUAGUCACCACAGGUGUGUCUGUGCUCUCUGUACAUAACAGCAGCAG
rnacentral:rRNA from 1 species